AAGGAUACGCUGUACCACAUUACUUCCUCCUGCUGAGAACAAGUCGGUAAUGCAGAUUGCUGAUGUAAAGUAUGCUAACAAACAGAUUCGAACAGAAAAUAAUCUCCUGAAUGCAGCACUGCCAGAAAACAUGCCAGGUGCAAAGAAAAGAUGG